UGGCGGACGGGUGAGUAACGCGUGGGUAACCUGCCUCAUACAGGGGGAUAACAGUUAGAAAUGACUGCUAAUACCGCAUAAGACCACAGCACCGCAUGGUGCAGGGGUAAAACCUCCGGUGGUAUGAGAUGGACCCGCGUCUGAUUAGGUAGUUGGUGGGGUAACGGCCUACCAAGCCGACGAUCAGUAGCCGACCUGAGAGGGUGACCGGCCACAUUGGGACUGAGACACGGCCCAA
rnacentral:rRNA from 1 species